rnacentral:lncRNA from 1 species
CUGAACCUAGUGAUGUGAGGGUAGAUUGUAUUUAACACUACUGAAUUUUAUACUUAAAAAGGGUCAAAAUGUAGUUUGGUAGUAGAGUGAGUGCCUAGUAUGUGAAGGGCCCUGAGUUCAAUCUCCAGCAACCCCCUCACUUCAAAUAGUUAAGAUGGUAAAUUUAAUGUUGUGUUUUUUACCACAGUUGAUGGUUUAGUGGUAAGUUUCUAUUAAGUGUAUUUUAUACCCCUUAACAAACAAACCACAAAACUAUUUAACAUUUGAUUCGGCUUUCUAAAAGAGCAUUUAAUCACCAAUAGUCCCUUCUGUUCCAGGUGAUAGCUACUAUUAACCAGUGGUCAGUGAGUCAGGAGGAUCCUUUAUCAUAGUUUCCCAUGCUUUAGGAUCAUUGGUCUAUACUUUCAGGUAUUGAACACAGGUUUGUAAUUUAACCCAAGGAUGCUUUACCACUGAGCCUCAUCCUCUGCCCUUUUUAUUUUUUAUUUUGAGACAGGGUCUUGCUGAGUUUCUUAAAGCCUCCCUGAGUUGCUGAGGCCGGCCUUGAGCUUGUGAUCCUCCUGUCUUAGCCUCCUGAGUUGCUGAGAUUACUGGCAUGCUCCACCAUUCCGGGUGGUAUUGUCUUUUUAUUGUGCAUAGACCUCCUUGGAAUCACAGAAUGUUAAUGCCAGAGAGAAUCCUACAUUGAAUUUUCAGAGAGGUGGAGCAACUUCCCAAAGGUCAUAUGGCUAAUUAAAGAAUCUGACCUUUCUUUUCUGCCCUUCCUACUUGGGAUUGAACCGAGACCUACCUCUGAGCUACAUUCUAAGCCCUUUUUUACCUUUUGUUUUGUUUUUAAAUACUUUUAGUUGUAGAUGGACAUGAUAUUUUUAUUUUUUAUGUGGUGCUGAGAAUUGAACCCAGUGCUUCACAUGUGCUAGGCAAGCGCUCUACUGCUGAGCCACAAC